CACACACACACACACACACACACGUGCGCGCACGCACACACACACACACACACACACACACACACACACACACACACACACACACACACAUACAGACACAGAUUAACAGGGUCACAUGCUCUUGUGCCAGUCUCUGUUGGUUUUCAACUACUCAACACAUACUCCACACAGGCCUCACUUAUCUUCAGUACUGGAACAUAGCGGGCCUGCUCGACUGUGUUGGCACCUACAACAGCAUUCCAGCAGAUCCUCCCCACCAAUGAAUGCAGUGCUGUAGAGGAGGAGCUCACAUGGGUAAGAUACAACAAAGAACAUCUGUGUGUGAAGGCCCUCACCUGGGGAGCAGGCAGCACUGCAUUACCACAGCUGCUACAGGUCUAGAUGUAAGCCAUCGUUCUCAUCCAUCAGCACAAUGAGCACGAGCCCUGAUCCAGCCACGUGCUUCAUCCACAAAGCUGUGCAGCUACUUUGUGCCACGCUGCAGGGCCUUUGUUUUGAACACACACACACAGACACACACACACACUCGCAUACAACCACACACAUAAUUUAAACACUAUUAUUAGUGUUUGCUUAUCAGUGCUUAUACAGAUCAGCCUCAGAAUCAUCUUGUUUAUAUUCAUGUUUAGUACAAUCUU
ensembl:lncRNA